ACAUGAAUGUUGGUAGCAACUUUGUGAGAGCCAAAAAUCAGCAGCAAAUCAACAACUCAUUAACAACAAAAUGGAUAAAAUCAUGAUAUGCCCAUAGAGUGGACUGCUAUUCAGCAAUAAAUACAAAAAACAUGUUUUUGAUACAUAUAUCAAUGUGGCUGAAUGUUGAAAUAAGUAUGUUGAAUAAAAAAGCCAGAUAAAAUGAUCACAUACUGUAUAAUUAGCUUUAUCACAAUUCUAGAAAAUACAUAAUAUUGACAAAGUAAUCGGUGGUUCCCUGCAUAUGUAAUUGGAGGAAGGGAUGUUUUAUAAUAGUGAUAGUGGCAGGAGGCAGACAAAUUCCUAGGCAGAUCAGGGUGGGUCCCUGGUGAAAUCCAACUUUCAAGCCAAAGCCUGAAAAGCCUGAAAACCGGGCUGCCAGUUCCAGGUAGAAUCCACAACCGGAAGUGAGAACUUCCUGAUGCCUUUCAGCCAAUCAAAUGGUUCUUCUUUCAGAGCCCACCCAUGGACCAAUCAGCAUGCACGUCCUUCAUUCUGAGCAUAUAAAAACCCCUGGACUCGGCCACAGCUGUCGACUACCAGGCUGCGUUAGGAGCUACCGUCUUCAGCUUUUUCUCGCUGCUGAGAGCUGUUUUGUUACUCAGUAAAACUCUUCUCCACCGUGCUCACCCUUCAGUUGACCGUGCAACUUCAUUCUUCCUGGACAUAAACCCGGGACCCACAGAACAGCGGGUGCAAAAAGGGCUGUAACGCUUUCCUGGCCGGAUCGCCAAGCUGCAGGUAAGAUGUGCCUGCUUCACCUACUGGCGUGAAUGUAAACUUUCUGAGACCUUCCCAGCCAUGUGGAACUACAUGAUCUGACAUAUUAAACUGAGGCAUAAAAGACAGGUGAUUGUCCACAGUUGCAGAGUUGCCAAGGUUCAGAAUUGAGACCUUAACCUUUGCCUUCAAAUCUCAGGAUCAGUGUUGUUGUUUUUACCAUGGUCACAUUUCAUUUCAUUUUUAGUGACUCUGCAAUGACCAUGGACAUUAUUUUUUAAUUGUUAAGGUAAACAUGAUUUGAAAUAUAU
rnacentral:lncRNA from 1 species